rnacentral:rRNA from 1 species
UAGGGGGCAAGCGUUGUCCGAAAUCAUUGGGCGGUAAAGAGCGUGUAGGCGGUCCGAUAAGUCCGUUGUGAAAGUCAAGGGCUCAACCCUUGAAUGCCGGUGGAUACUGUCGGACUAGAGUCCGGAAGAGGCGAGUGGAAUUCCUGGUGUAGCGGUGAAAUGCGCAGAUAUCAGGAGGAACACCGAUGGCGAAGGCAGCUCGCUGGGACGGUACUGACGCUCAGGCGCGAAAGCGUGGGGAGCGAACAGGAUUAGAUACCCUGGUAGUCCACGCCGUAAACGAUGGGCACUAGGUGUGGGAGGUGUCGACUCCUCCCGUGCCGUAGUAACGCACUAAGUGCCCCGCCUGGGGAGUACGGCCGCAAGGCUAAAACUCAAAGGAAUUGACGGGGGCCCGCACAAGCAGCGGAGCAUGUGGUUUAAUUCGACGCAACGCGAAGAACCUUACCUGGGCUUGACAUGUUCGCGACAGGUGUGGAAACACAUCCCUCUUCGGGGCGCGAUCACAGGUGGUGCAUGGCUGUCGUCAGCUCGUGUCGUGAGAUGUUGGGUUAAGUCCCGCAACGAGCGCAACCCUCGUCGCAUGUUGCCAGCGGUUCGGCCGGGGACUCAUGCGAGACUGCCGGUGACAAACCGGAGGAAGGUGGGGAUGACGUCAAGUCAUCAUGCCCCUUAUGUCCAGGGCUACACACGUGCUACAUUGGCGCAUACAAAGGGGUUGCGAUACCGCGAGGUGGAGCGAAUCCCANGAAAGUGCGUCUCGGUUCGGAUUGGAGGCUGAAACUCGCCUCCAUGAAGGCGGAGUUGCUAGUAA